AUUGAACGCUGGCGGCAGGCCUAACACAUGCAAGUCGAGCGGAUGAAGGGAGCUUGCUCCUGGAUUCAGCGGCGGACGGGUGAGUAAUGCCUAGGAAUCUGCCUGGUAGUGGGGGAUAACGUCCGGAAACGGGCGCUAAUACCGCAUACGUCCUGAGGGAGAAAGUGGGGGAUCUUCGGACCUCACGCUAUCAGAUGAGCCUAGGUCGGAUUAGCUAGUUGGUGGGGUAAGGGCCUACCAAGGCGACGAUCCGUAACUGGUCUGAGAGGAUGAUCAGUCACACUGGAACUGAGACACGGUCCAGGCUCCUACGGGAGGCAGCAGUGGGGAAUGUUGGACAAUGGGCGAAAGCCUGAUCCAGCCAUGCCGCGUGUGUGAAGAAGGUCUUCGGAUUGUAAAGCACUUUAAGUUGGGAGGAAGGGCAGUAAGUUAAUACCUUGCUGUUUUGACGUUACCAACAGAAUAAGCACCGGCUAACUUCGUG
rnacentral:rRNA from 1 species